AAUCCCGGCUCGGGGAGGUAGUGACAAAAAAUAACAAUGCGGGACUCUUAUGAGGCUUCGUAAUUGGAAUGAGUACAUUCUAAAUCCUUUAACGAGGAACUAUUGGAGGGCAAGUCUGGUGCCAGCAGCCGCGGUAAUUCCAGCUCCAAUAGCGUAUAUUAAAGUUGUUGCGUCUAAAAAGCUCGUAGUUUGAAAACUUGCCUUGGCUUACAACAGACGUCUAAGGGCGUCACCGUUUGUCGAGAGCAAAUAUGGGUGACUGUUCUUGCCUUCUUCACUGAUUGGCUCGUAAAAGUCAUCGAAGAUCACUUUGACUAAAUUAGGGUGCUCAAAGCAAGUGUGCUACUUGAAUAUGAAUGCAUGGAAUGAUGGAAUAUGUUGUUGUUCUAUUUGUUGGUUUUUUUGAAUGACGAAAUGAUUGAAAGGAACUGUUGGGGGCAUUCGUAUUGUUGUGAGAGAGGUGAAAUUCUUAGACCAUAGCAAGACGAACUACUGCGAAAGCAUUUGCCAAGAAUGUUUUCAUUGAUCAAGAACGAAAGUUAGAGGUUCGAAGGCGAUCAGAUACCGCCCUAGUUCUAACCAUAAACUAUGCCGACUAGCAAUUUGCUUUGUAUUUUUAUGACUAAGUGAGAGGCCACGGGAAACCAAAGUAGGGUUAUGGGGGAAGUAUGGUUGCAAAGCUGAAACUUAAAGGAAUUGACGGAAGGGCACCACCAGGAGUGGAGCCUGCGGCUUAAUUUGACACAACACGGGAAAACUUACCUGGUCCUGACACUAGAAGGAUUGACAGAUUGAUAGCUCUUUCUUGAUUUGGUGGAUGGUGGUGCAUGGCCGUUCUUAGUUGGUGGAGUGAUUUGUCUGGUUAAUUCCGAUAACGAACGAGACUCUAGCCUAUUAAAUAAUAUGCGGAAUCAAUUUCUCCCGCGUUAUUUCUUAAUGGGAUCAAGCGUGUUUAACGCUUUGAAACAGAGCAAUAACAGGUCUGUGAUGCCCUUAGAUGUUCGGGGCUGCACGCGCGCUACAUUGAAGAACAAAGUGAGCCCUCUGGCUUUUAACAGAGCUAGAAAUCUUUUAAUGUUCUUCUUAAUGGGGAUAGGGGAUUGCAAUUGUGCCCCUUGAACGAGGAAUUCCCAGUAAGUGCUAGUCAUUAGCUAGUACUGAUUACGUCCCUGCCCUCUGUACACACCGCCCGUCGCUACUACCGAUUGAAUAGUUUAGUGAGAUCAUCUGAGUGUUUGUAUGUGCAUUCUGUGCUUGUAUGGUGUACGAAGAAGAUCAAACUUGAUUAUUUAGA
rnacentral:rRNA from 1 species